UACAGAGGGGGCAAGCGUUGUUCGGAAUUACUGGGCGUAAAGGGCGCGUAGGCGGCCUUCUAAGUCAGACGUGAAAUCCCUCGGCUCAACCGGGGAACUGCGUCUGAGACUGGAAGGCUUGAAUCCGGGAGAGGGAUGUGGAAUUCCAGGUGUAGCGGUGAAAUGCGUAGAUAUGCGGAGGAAUGACCGGUGGCGAAGGCGGCAAUCCUGGACCGGCAUUGACGGCUGAGGAGCGAAAGCCAGGGGAGCAAAGCGGG
rnacentral:rRNA from 1 species